GCUUGGAGGAAGGAAGGAAACCGACAAGUGGGCGCACUGUUGGCGGAGCACAGCCACGGCGCCUUUCCUGUACUUUUUCGGUGGCACUUUUGGUGGUCGGGGAGGGGGACUGUUUCUGCACCGGGGGCGACAUUCGACACUGUUUAUUAAAGAAGACAUGUAGUGAGUCGGUAAGUACUUGUUGUCGCCGACAACGAGGCGAGCUGCUCCGCGUGCUAAAGCUAACACGCUAACUUCCAAACUCCUGAAGGAGUUGUCAUCGUUUCGGGGUGUCUGCUUGACACAACAAUUACACAACAAAGCGGUGUUUCUUAGUUCACUCACAACUUCCUUUUCACCUGUGGUGGUGGUCGGCGGACGUUAUGGCUUCAGAUAUGAUUGAAAGCGAGGCAAAUCUGAAGGGUGUCAGUGAAACCAACUUGAACAAUAGUCGCCCAGAUUUUGGCACACCCAGGCGGACUCAUGAGAACAGACGCACAUCCAGUCCUUCGUCAUCUGGGGUGUCGGGAGAAGUGGACGAGGACGAGCUGGACGAGCUCCAACACAGAACGGCGUCUACGGUGGUUAAUGGCGAGGAGGCACUUGAAGAGAGUUUAACCAAAACAAAUAGCAGUCGACUGGAAAGGACGACUCUGGAGAAUGAACAGAACCCUGCUGCCCCGGUGAGCCUCCUUCAACCAUUUUCGACUGCCGGACCCUGUGGAAGCCUGGAGCGCCAGAAUUCAGUUGCUACGACAGAGGCCCGAUUACGGAUGGAGGGAGUCGAGCUUAAGGAAGAGUGGCAGGAUGAAGACUUUCCACGGCCUCUACCUGAAGAGGAGGAGGAGCUUGAAGAGGAGUUGUUUGCUGGAGGCUCUGAAGAGGGAGAUCCUGGCUAUGACGUAGUGAACCACCAUAAGAAAGAGAAGAAGAAGCUCGCAGCUCCAGACAUCAGCCUCACUCUGGACCGCAGUGAUGGGUCCAUUCUUUCCGAUGAGUUGGAUGAAAGUACAGAGCUGGACUUGGACGACAUGGACACGCCCUCUGACAACAGCAAUGAGUUUGAAUGGGAAGAUGAUCUCCCCAAGCCCAAAACCACAGAGCUACUAGAGAAGGGCGUGGAGUCAGUCAAGCAGUACUCGACUUCGGACGAGAGGGAGGAGGGCCGGCGCUGGAGGGUGUUUCGCAUCGGAGACCAGGAACACAAAGUGGACAUGACAGCCAUUGAACCCUACAAGCGGGUUAUAAGCCAUGGAGGUUACUAUGGCGAUGGCUUGAAUGCCAUAAUUGUGUUUGCGGUGUGCUUCAUGCCUGAGAGCAGUCAACCAAAUUACAGAUACAUCAUGGACAAUUUGUUCAAGUAUGUUAUCGGCACGCUGGAGCUUUUGGUGGCCGAGAACUAUAUGAUUGUGUAUCUUAACGGGGCCACAUCACGAAAAAAGAUGCCAACUGUCGGCUGGCUCCGAAAGUGUUAUCAGCAGAUUGACAGAAGGUUAAGGAAGAAUUUAAAAUCUUUGAUAAUCGUCCAUCCCUCUUGGUUCAUUCGCACCCUGCUGGCACUCACCAAACCUUUUAUUAGCUCCAAAUUUAGUCAAAAAAUCAAGUUUGUGUACAGCCUAACAGACCUUGCCGAAUUAGUCCCGAUGGAGUACGUAUCCAUUCCGGAUUGUAUCAAGCUGUUUGACGAGGAAAAAAAUAGGAAAAGCCGUAAAAGGUUUGCAAUGGGACUUUUUUAAAUAAUUGGGAUGUUUGAACACUGCAGUAAAUCACGUCCACACACGUUUCAACUGGACUGAUAAUGUUGUGCACUGCUGCUGAGAAAUAUGCUCAAAGAAAAGAUGAACCUAAAGUGCCUUGGACACCUCUGAUCGACCAGGACGUGCACGGCAAAGUGGAGACUGCCACUGCUGCAGUUCCCGAGUGAUCUCGCCAAAGUAGAGACGACGAUGACGAUGAUGAAGAUUGUUGGACCCGCCGCCACUUUUUCCUUUUGUGCAUGUUUGUAUUUUGGGGUGAUGUGACUGGAAGUUUGUGCGUCAGGAAAGUGCCUUGUUAAAACGAUGCUGCCUCUUACAUUGUGGAACAUGUUACGAGUUGCGUUACUCCCAAGCAGCUCUAUUCUUCCCCCCCCCCCCCCUCUCUACCG